AUGCAGAGCGGCAAGAAGCAGUACAUCGCCUGCCACCAAGGGUUCAAGGUGCUCAAGCUCGACUACAGGCAAGGACACGUGUGGUCAUCGCCGCCGGCGUCGUUCUCCAUGUGCGUCUUCCUCCCGGACGACCGCGACGGGCUGCAAGGCCUGGUCCAGAGGAUCGCGUCCAGCCCGGACUUCAUCCGCGCACACCUUCCGACGAGACUCGUCUCCGUCGGCGACUUCAAGCUGCCCAGAUUCAAGCUUGCCUUUUCGGCCGACAUGUCCGACAUUCUCCGGCGGUUGGGACUCCAUGUGGCGGGAGCCGACAUGUCCAACAUGGUGGAGGACGACGGCACCGGCAGGCCGCUGGCUCUGAGCGGUAUCGUCCACAAGGCUGUUAUUGAGGUGAACGAGGAUGGUACCGAGGCGGCGGCCGUGACCGCCGGCCUAAUGUGCGGCUGCGCCCCACCACCGAAGACACCGCCGGUUCUCGUGGAUUUCGUUGCUGACCAUCCCUUUGCCUUCUUUGUAAUCGAGGAGGAGUCCGGCGCCAUCGUCUUCGCUGGGAACAUCCUUGAACCCUCUCCGUCGAUUCCUGGAGAGAACCUUCGUCGCCGUGAGUCCGUACGUCGUGCUCCUAACUUCGUCGGGAGGAGGCCCGAGCAUCCAUGGACUUUGGGUGCAAUCGAUGAGAAACAGCUGCUCGGGGUAUACUCAAGGGGUAUGGAUGGCCGUCCAUUUGUGCAGCAUGAGGCUGCUUCAUGUAAUCCUAUUCUUCUUUUCGCUUGUGUCUGCCUAGUUGUGGCCUUUUUCUUUCAACUUGUACGUCUUUUGGUGAUGUAA
rnacentral:rRNA from 1 species